AUUGAACGCUGGCGGCAUGCUUUACACAUGCAAGUCGAGCGGCAGCGCGGGGGCAACCCUGGCGGCGAGCGGCGAACGGGUGAGUAAUGCAUCGGAACGUAUCCUCGAGUGGGGGAUAACCCAGCGAAAGUUGGGCUAAUACCGCAUGAGCUCUGAGGAGGAAAGCGGGGGACCUGCGAGGGCCUCGCGCUGGAGGAGCGGCCGAUGUCCGAUUAGCUAGUUGGUGGGGUAAAGGCUUACCAAGGCGACGAUCGGUAGCUGGUCUGAGAGGAUGAUCAGCCACACUGGGACUGAGACACGGCCCAGACUCCUACGGGAGGCAGCAGUGGGGAAUUUUGGACAAUGGGGGCAACCCUGAUCCAGCCAUGCCGCGUGAGUGAAGAAGGCCUUCGGGUGUAAAGCUCUUUCGGACGGAACGAAAUGGGCGGGACUAAUACUCCUGUCUGAUGACGGUACCGUAAGAAGAAGCACCGGCUAACUACGUG
rnacentral:rRNA from 1 species